rnacentral:rRNA from 1 species
AUGGCCUCCUCCCCUCUCGCCUCCCCGGCCCGCCGCGCCCUCCUCUUGUCGUCGUUCCUCCUCUGCUUCCUGCCGCGCCAUGUUGCCGCCGGCGCCGCUGGGGCGGCGGGCUACGUCACCGUCUCCACCGCCAGCUUCGCCGCCCGGUACGGCGUGGUGACGCUGCCGACGGUGGCGCUGACGUUCAGCGGCGGCGCGACGCUGGCCCUGGAGGCCCCCGGGAUCCUGUCGAGCGGGUGCCUCGCGUUCGCGCCCAACGGCGGCGACGGCGACGCCGCCAUCCUCGGCAACGUGCAGCAGCGCUCCUUCGCGGUGCGCUUCGACGGCGGCACCGUCGGGUUCAUGCCCAGCGCGUGCUGA